AGGACGAACGCUGGCGGCGUGCUUAACACAUGCAAGUCGAGCGAGGCCCCUCCUUCGGGAGGGUGUCCUAGCGGCGAACGGGUGAGUAACACGUGGGCAACCUGCCCUCAGCUCUGGGAUAACCCCGGGAAAACCGGGGCUAAUACCGGAUACGACCUCCAUGGGCAUCUGCGGAGGUGGAAAGGUUUUUCCGGCUGAGGAUGGGCCCGCGGCCUAUCAGCUAGUUGGUGGGGUGAUGGCCCACCAAGGCGACGACGGGUA
rnacentral:rRNA from 1 species